AUCAUGCCCCUUAUGAUUUGGGCUACACACGUGCUACAAUGUACAAUACAAAGGGCAGCGAAACCGCGAGGUCAAGCAAAUCCCAUAAAGUUGUUCUCAGUUCGGAUUGUAGUCUGCAACUCGACUACAUGAAGCUGGAAUCGCUAGUAAUCGUAGAUCAGCAUGCUACGGUGAAUACGUUCCCGGGUCUUGUACACACCGCCCGUCACACCACGAGAGUUUGUAACACCCGAAGCCGGUGGAGUAACCUUUUAGGAGCUAGCCGUC
rnacentral:rRNA from 1 species